UGGGGAAUUUUGGACAAUGGGGGAAACCCUGAUCCAGCCAUCCCGCGUGUGCGAUGAAGGCCUUCGGGUUGUAAAGCACUUUUGGCAGGAAAGAAACGUCAUGGGUUAAUACCCCGUGAAACUGACGGUACCUGCAGAAUAAGCACCGGCUAACUACGUGCCAGCAGCCGCGGUAAUACGUAGGGUGCAAGCGUUAAUCGGAAUUACUGGGCGUAAAGCGUGCGCAGGCGGUUCGGAAAGAAAGAUGUGAAAUCCCAGAGCUCAACUUUGGAACUGCAUUUUUAACUACCGGGCUAGAGUGUGUCAGAGGGAGGAGGAAUUCCGCGUGUAGCAGUGAAAUGCGUAGAUAUGCGGAGGAACACCGAUGGCGAAGGCAGCCUCCUGGGAUAACACUGACGCUCAUGCACGAAAGCGUGGGGAGCAAACAGG
rnacentral:rRNA from 1 species